rnacentral:misc_RNA from 1 species
CCAAUAGCGUAUAUUAAAGUUGUUGCAGUUAAAAAGCUCGUAGUUGAAUUUUAGGCCUGGCCGGAUGGUCCGUCUUUGGCGAGUACUGUUCUGUCGUCGGGUCUAUCCUUCUGGUGAGCCGGGAUGCCCUUUAUUGGGUGUGUCGGGGAACCAGGACCAUUACCUUGAAAAAAUUAGAGUGUUUAAAGCGGGCAUUUGCUUGAAUAGAUUAGCAUGGAAUAAUAGAAUAGGACGUUGGUUUUAUUUUGUUGGUUUUAGGACCACCGUAAUGAUUAAUAGGGAUAGUUGGGGGCAUUAGUAUUCAAUUGGCAGAGGUGAAAUUCUUGGAUUUAUUGAAGACUAACUAUUGCGAAAGCAUUUGCCAAGGAUGUUUUCAUUAAUCAAGAACGAAAGUUAGGGGAUCGAAGACGAUCAGAUACCGUCGUAGUCUUAACCAUAAACUAUGCCGACUAGGAAUCGGGCGACGUUAUUCAAUGACUCGCUCGGCGCCUUAUG